UUGGGGGUCAUUAUGUGCCUUAGCAGUCAGUCAAAUAUAAGGGAUUUGCAGGAAUUCUUGGCAACUCCAACGAUAGGUGUUAUUGGCACUGCAAAGUAUUCGGUGUUCUUUUUAAAGAAAAAAUUCAGCCUAGAAUUGGGGUUACCAAGUACAAAAGUAGAACAGGAACGUAUUAGCACCUAGUGAAAUUUUCUUCGGUGUGAGGUGGUGUGAAUACCAAUGGUAGCCAAAAGGGGAGGAAGUUAAAUAGAG
rnacentral:lncRNA from 1 species